rnacentral:tRNA from 1 species
GGUUGUGGUUCAGUGGGUAGAGCACUUGCCUUGAAUGUGAGAAGCACUGGGUUCGAUCCUCAGCACCA